AGUUUGAUUUUGGCUCAGGAUGAACGCUGGUUCCAUGCCUAAUACAUGCAAGUCAAACCAAGUGAAUAUAGCUUGCUAUUGGAACUUAGUGGCCAACGGGUGAAUAAGACGUAGAUAACCUGCCUGUAUCACCGGCAUAACAGUUGGAAACCACUGCUACUACCGGAUGGGCAGAGAGGAGGCAUCUCUUCUCUGUGAGCGUUGGGACUCGACGCAAACCCAUGGAUCUGCGGUGCAUUAGCUAGUUGGUGAGGUAGCGGCCCACCAAGGCGAUGAUGCAUAGCCGGCCUGAGAGGGCGAACGGCCACAUUGGGACUGAGACACGGCCCAAACUCCUACGGGAGGCAGCAGUAGGGAAUUUUCGGCAAUGGGGGAAACCCUGACCGAGCAAUGCCGCGUGAGUGAAGACGGCCUUCGGGUUGUAAAGCUCUGUUGUAAGGGAAGAACGGCAUAGAGAGGGAAUGCUCUAUGAGUGACGGUACCUUACCAGAAAGCCACGGCUAACUACGUGCCAGCAGCCGCGGUAAUACGUAGGUGGCAAGCGUUAUCCGGAAUUAUUGGGCGUAAAGGGUGCGUAGGCGGCGAGAUAAGUCUGAGGUAAAAGCCCGUGGCUCAACCACGGUAAGCCUUGGAAACUGUCUGGCUGGAGUGCAGGAGAGGACAAUGGAAUUCCAUGUGUAGCGGUAAAAUGCGUAGAUAUAUGGAGGAACACCAGUGGCGAAGGCGGUUGUCUGGCCUGUAACUGACGCUGAAGCACGAAAGCGUGGGGAGCAAAUAGGAUUAGAUACCCUAGUAGUCCACG
rnacentral:rRNA from 1 species